rnacentral:lncRNA from 1 species
CUGUGUGAAGAAUGGACCUUAGCAGGUCAAGAGAGGGGAAGAGAGCCCAGCCGGGAGGCUCCUGCAAUGUCCAGGCACACGGAAGGCUGUUCAGCAGAGAUGAGCAGAUGAUGAAGAAGAUUCAGAGAGGUCAAACUACUUGCCUAUGGACACUGACUGGGCUCUCUGCCUGGUGAACUCCGACUCCGCAGCGUGUGCACAGCCUCGGCUGGAGCCGCAGGGAGCAGGUGUUGGAGCAUCGCAGGUGUUGGAGCAUCACAGGACUGCCCCGGGUUUAGUCCUGAAAAUCCUGCAUCCCAAGAAACCCCUCGGUCCUGGGCAACCCGGGACAGUUGGUUGCCCUCCAAGCCUCACGUGUGUUAUCUCCUGGGGCCUCAGGAUCCCCUGAGGCAGCUGAAGUCAUGGGUCACCGCCCCACUUCACAGGUGUGGACAGCAAGGCUCAGGAACUUAUUCAGGAAACAAGGACUUCCGGAGAGCCUGCUUCAAGUCAGGCCCUGGGCUGGGCUCUGAGGACUCGGUGAGGAACAGCAGACGCAGCCCCUGCCUUCACAGAGCUGGCACUCCAGCGGGAGGGACAGACACAGCCUGUCAAAUAGAGACGGAAGGAUUUGGCAGCAGCUAUGUCAGUACCACGAAGGAGGAUGGGAGCUGGUGUGGUAGGCCUCAGACCUGGUCUAGGGGGACCCCCAGAAGUGUGUUUCAGCCGAGAUCCCCAGGAGGACAGGAAGCAGCCGGGAAGCACUAUGGGGUGGUGACUGGGCUGGCCCCUUUUGCUCGUGUGAGCACUCUGAGCC